CAAUAUAUAGCUUAACCAAAGCAUCUCGCUUACACCGAGAAAAUAUCUGUGAGACCCGGAUUAUUUUGA
rnacentral:tRNA from 1 species